AUCGGAGGCUGAGUCAUCCCUGCUGCAAAUCGAAACUGUGGAUCUGAAAAGAAUUUUCUCAUCUAAACCAGAGCUUCAGUCUCCCAGAUCGUGAAUGUCUGAGAAUAAGCAGAUGCAGCCCUUUUCACAGAAGGGCAAGGUCCGCAGCUCCUCGGCAUCAUGGCAUUAUUUAUUCAUCAUGAGAGCCGCGAGUGAACAUGUACCCUGCAGAAAAAUCAAAUCAGUGUUCGGUUUCUCGAGCAGCUGCGUUUGGCAGAGAAAAAGCAUUUGGAUCUAACUUUGGUAACUGGACAAUUAUAGGCGUUAUUAAAUUGGAGAUGCAAAUGAGUAACCAUGUUUUCUUCCGAGUUUGUUCUUUCACUUGUAGUGCUUAAAUUAAAACCAGCUCAGCAUUUGUAAAAGCUGAUUCCUGAAAGCUUAGAAAAGUUCUGUGCUUGUCUAUAUACCAGUAGUUUCACUAAAAACAUUUACAUAUUAGUUAACCUCAAAGGGCCAAAUCUGCAUUUAUUCAUGUUUACAGGUUUAAAUGGUUUUAGCCCUGAAGUCAUUGUGUCCUUAGAUACCUAACACUGAAGAUUUGCUCACAGGUGGAGAUUCAGAUAGAAUAAAACACACAAGCUUAGAAAUGUUAAUAAGUAUCUCUAUGCAUUAUAAAAAUACCUACAGAUAAUUUAAAGCCUGAGUAAUUUGUAUAUAUAUUUCCCGAUUUGUGGAAUAGACUAAUAUUACAUCAUAGUCCGAGAACUUUUUAUAAAUUGCCUAGUUUUUAAUUUCAAUUCUUCCAUU
rnacentral:lncRNA from 1 species